rnacentral:rRNA from 1 species
CUCGUGAAUUCAUCUCCGGGGGUAGAGCACUGUUUCGGCAAGGGGGUCAUCCCGACUUACCAACCCGAUGCAAACUGCGAAUACCGGAGAAUGUUAUCACGGGAGACACACGGCGGGUGCUAACGUCCGUCGUGAAGAGGGAAACAACCCAGACCGCCAGCUAAGGUCCCAAAGUCAUGGUUAAGUGGGAAACGAUGUGGGAAGGCCCAGACAGCCAGGAUGUUGGCUUAGAAGCAGCCAUCAUUUAAAGAAAGCGUAAUAGCUCACUGGUCGAGUCGGCCUGCGCGGAAGAUGUAACGGGGCUAAACCAUGCACCGAAGCUGCGGCAGCGACGCUGAUGCGUUGUUGGGUAGGGGAGCGUUCUGUAAGCCUGUGAAGGUGUGCUGUGAGGCAUGCUGGAGGUAUCAGAAGUGCGAAUGCUGACAUAAGUAACGAUAAAGCGGGUGAAAAGCCCGCUCGCCGGAAGACCAAGGGUUCCUGUCCAACGUUAAUCGGGGCAGGGUGAGUCGACCCCUAAGGCGAGGCCGAAAGGCGUAGUCGAUGGGAAACAGGUUAAUAUUCCUGUACUUGGUGUUACUGCGAAGGGGGGACGGAGAAGGCUAUGUUGGCCGGGCGACGGUUGUCCCGGUUUAAGCGUGUAGGCUGGUUUUCCAGGCAAAUCCGGAAAACUAAGGCUGAGGCGUGAUGACGAGGCACUACGGUGCUGAAGCAACAAAUGCCCUGCUUCCAGGAAAAGCCUCUAAGCAUCAGGUAACAUCAAAUCGUACCCCAAACCGACACAGGUGGUCAGGUAGAGAAUACCAAGGCGCUUGAGAGAACUCGGGUGAAGGAACUAGGCAAAAUGGUGCCGUAACUUCGGGAGAAGGCACGCUGAUAUGUAGGUGAAGUCCCUCGCGGAUGGAGCUGAAAUCAGUCGAAGAUACCAGCUGGCUGCAACUGUUUAUUAAAAACACAGCACUGUGCAAACACGAAAGUGGACGUAUACGGUGUGACGCCUGCCCGGUGCCGGAAGGUUAAUUGAUGGGGUCAGCGCAAGCGAAGCUCUUGAUCGAAGCCCCGGUAAACGGCGGCCGUAACUAUAACGGUCCUAAGGUAGCGAAAUUCCUUGUCGGGUAAGUUCCGACCUGCACGAAUGGCGUAAUGAUGGCCAGGCUGUCUCCACCCGAGACUCAGUGAAAUUGAACUCGCUGUGAAGAUGCAGUGUACCCGCGGCAAGACGGAAAGACCCCGUGAACCUUUACUAUAGCUUGACACUGAACAUUGAGCCUUGAUGUGUAGGAUAGGUGGGAGGCUUUGAAGUGUGGACGCCAGUCUGCAUGGAGCCGACCUUGAAAUACCACCCUUUAAUGUUUGAUGUUCUAACGUUGACCCGUAAUCCGGGUUGCGGACAGUGUCUGGUGGGUAGUUUGACUGGGGCGGUCUCCUCCUAAAGAGUAACGGAGGAGCACGAAGGUUGGCUAAUCCUGGUCGGACAUCAGGAGGUUAGUGCAAUGGCAUAAGCCAGCUUGACUGCGAGCGUGACGGCGCGAGCAGGUGCGAAAGCAGGUCAUAGUGAUCCGGUGGUUCUGAAUGGAAGGGCCAUCGCUCAACGGAUAAAAGGUACUCCGGGGAUAACAGGCUGAUACCGCCCAAGAGUUCAUAUCGACGGCGGUGUUUGGCACCUCGAUGUCGGCUCAUCACAUCCUGGGGCUGAAGUAGGUCCCAAGGGUAUGGCUGUUCGCCAUUUAAAGUGGUACGCGAGCUGGGUUUAGAACGUCGUGAGACAGUUCGGUCCCUAUCUGCCGUGGGCGCUGGAGAACUGAGGGGGGCUGCUCCUAGUACGAGAGGACCGGAGUGGACGCAUCACUGGUGUUCGGGUUGUCAUGCCAAUGGCACUGCCCGGUAGCUAAAUGCGGAAGAGAUAAGUGCUGAAAGCAUCUAAGCACGAAACUUGCCCCGAGAUGAGUUCUCCCUGACUCCUUGAGAGUCCUGAAGGAACGUUGAAG